GGAGUUGGAAGAAGAGAGAAUGUUGGUAUGAGUAACCACAAGUCCGAUGAGAAAUCGGACCACCGAAAGCCUCAGGUUUCCUUGGCAAUGUAAAUCAGCCAAGGGUUAGGCGGAUCUAAGACAAACCCGAAAGGGGUAGUUGAUGUUCAGUCGGUUAAUAUUCCGACCCUUCUAUAUUUUUUCUACGGAGUGACAGGAUUUAGUAGUUGAAGCAGAUUAUUGGAUUUCUGUUUGUAUGUUAAGAAGCCAAGUUAGGCAAAUCCGGCUUGGAUUACUUCAAGACACUCAAGAAGUUUCGGUUUCGAUCGGAACGACUUUAAUGAGCAAGUCCUCGAGAAAAACUUCUAUGUUCGCCAAUCGGCGAAAGAAAUAUAGAAUCCGUACCGUAAACUGACACAGGUGGGCGAGGCGAGAAGCCUAAGGUGAACGGGUUAACCUUCGUUAAGGAACUCGGCAAAACAACGGCCGUAAGUUCGCAAUAAGGCCUUCCCCGAUUUAUCGGGGACGCAGCUAAAGAUUCCUAGCGACUGUUUACUAAAAACACAGGUCCCUGCUAACUCGUAAGAGGAUGUAUAGGGGCUGACACUUGACCAGUGCUGGAAGGUUAAUAGUGCCGGUUGUGGCCGCAAGGUUACAGCUGAGUGCUUGAAGCCCCAGUGAACGUCGGCGAUAACUAUAAUCGUCCUAAGGUACCGAAAUUCCUUGACAUGUAAGUUAUGUCCUGCAGGAAAAGUGUAACGACUGGGAAACUGUCUCAACGAAGAGCCCGGUGAAAAUGCAAUGUCAGUGAAGAUGCUGACUACCCGCGACAAGACGAAAAGACCCCAGGAGCUUUACUAUAUCUUGGUAUUGUUUUAACGAUUUUGAUGCGUAGCGUAGAUGGUAGGAUUUGAAGUCUCGAUUUUGGUUGGGAUGGAUCCGUCAAUGAAACACCAUUCUUUAAAAUUGUUAAAACUAACCCCUCUUAAUAGAGAGGGACAGUGCCAGGUGGGUAGUUUUGGUGGGGCGCUAGCCUCCUAAAAGGUAACGGAGGCGUUUAAAGGUUGACUAGCUCCGGAUGGAAAUCGGAGUGAUAGUGUAAGAGCAUAAGUCAGCUUUACUGCGAGACUGACAGGUCAAGCAGUUGCGAAAGCAGAAUCUAGUGAACCGCUGGAUCUUUAUAGAAAGACCAAAGAUCAUCGGAUAAAAGCUACCCUGGGGAUAACAGGCUGGUAGGCGCUGAGAGUCCAUAUCGACGCGUCUGUUCGGCACCUCGAUGUCGGCUCAUCUCAUCCUGGGGCUGGAGAAGGUCCCAAGGGUUUGGCUGUUCGCCAAUUAAAGAGGUACGUGAGCUGGGUUUAAACCGUCAACUAAAUUUGUUACUGUUAGCAAAUUUGGCGGCUUCUGAUAGUAAUAUCGGAAUGUGAAAUCGACUCAUAUCGGUGAAGUCCUAUUAUAUAUUGACACUCAACCUGUCAUAUGAUAGGAUAAUACCGAGGGAAGCUGUAAAUUUUCUUUAUGAGUAAAAACACUAAAAAUUGGUCUUAUUUGGCAGGGUUUUUAGAUGGAGACGGAAGUAUCUAUGUAAGAAUUAAACCAAAUAAAUCUUAUCGUUUUGGAUUUCAAAUUGCUCCGACAAUUGCCUUU
rnacentral:rRNA from 1 species